rnacentral:lncRNA from 14 species
AAAGCCACUCCGGCAGCAUUCCCAGGAGGUACCUCCCCGCAGACAAGCCUGACACAGGACACCAUUACAAAGCCAACCGCUGUGGGACAGACUGCGGGCAGCGACCGGUACCUCAGGUGCACAUAAUGAUCCUGCUCCUGACAGAUCUUCAGCCACACAGGAUGCCUGUGAGGAAGCUCUGCAUUGGUAAGAUGAGGGUGACAGCAUUGACCAUCUGUGGGCAGGGUUGAAGAUUAACUGGGAAGACAGACCUGCUGCUGGAAUACAAAGGCAUGGAUGAUUGCUUAUCCUAUAGAAGCUGGAGGCACUCAUAAAGGGGACCCUCUUCUCUACCUCUUGCUGCCACCAGCUAAAAUCAAUAGCAUUGCACAGAAUAUGUGAGAGAUGCUCUUGCAGAGGACUCACACUGAAGUAUUAUACUGUAGCCUCCAACAUAAAUCUGUCUUAACUGACUUAAGUCAGCAAUUCAGUGCUGUCUGCAUAAACUAUUGACUGAAUAAAAUAUGCAUCAUUUUACC